rnacentral:rRNA from 1 species
UACGGAGGGAGCUAGCGUUUAUUCGGAAUUACUGGGCGUAAAGCGCACGUAGGCGGCUUUGUAAGUAAGAGGUGAAAGCCUGGUGCUCAACACCAGAACUGCCUUUUAGACUGCAUCGCUUGAAUCAUGGAGAGGUGAGUGGAAUUCCGAGUGUAGAGGUGAAAUUCGUAGAUAUUCGGAAGAACACCAGUGGCGAAGGCGGCUCACUGGACAUGUAUUGACGCUGAGGUGGCGAAAGCGUGGGGAGCAAACAGG